CCAUGUCUCGCCUCUGGCAACUCGUUUCUUUUCCUUUUUUGAAGUCUGGCAUUGUUGUGGCAUUUGCAUUUUUUCAAGCAUUCUUUGGGCGCCGUAAGGACAAAGAACAUCGAUGGUCGUCAUUGCAUAUAUCACAAAUUACAUCCUGGAUCCUGGAUCCUGGAACCUGGAUCCUGGAUUCCGACAGUGGAGGACCGACCGGACAUGAAAGGCUUGAAAGUUGUCUGGGAAUGGGAUCGGGGCAAAAACUGAUUCGGAGUCUCUGGCUAUGAAGUGGACUCGACUGGCAGACGGAAAUUGAAGUGUUUCUAAUGUAUGCGGGGGGUGGAGGGAACGGAGGGAACGGAGGAAAGAGAAAACGGAUGGGCCAAAGGCUUUUCCAUCUGGCCGUGACGCCGACAGCAAAAACUGACAGCAGAACCAGCCCGUCGGCGGCAUCAGCGGCAACGAGUGCGUCUAAUUGAUGGGCAUC